GGAGAGGUGGCCGAGCGGUUGAAGGCAGCUGUCUUGAAAACAGCCGGGUGAUGAGCCUCGUGGGUUCGAAUCCCACCCUCUCCGCCA
rnacentral:tRNA from 1 species